CAUUUUUUUUUAUUUUUUAUGUUUUUCUCCUGAUAUAGCGACUCAAGCAAGGCCCUGGGCAUUAUGAUUCAUUCUCUCUAAAGGUCAAAGGGGAAAAGGGUGAACGCGGUCUUCCCGGAACGGAUGGAAUUCCGGGUUUACCAGGACGACCAGGUAGAACUGGACCUCCUGGUUCUCCUGGACAAAGGGGGGCGCCUGGAAUUCCUGGUGACAUGGGGCCUCCUGGUAAUACUGGACCUAAAGGACAGAGAGGAGAGAGAGGUGAACCGGGCUAUGUUAUGGGAGGUAUGGAGGUUCUUCCAGGACGUAAAGGAGAACCUGGAUCCUCUGGCCCUCCAGGUGCUCCAGGGGUCCCAGGGGUAUCAGGUCCUCCAGGACUCCCUGGUUUGUCUGGGCCUCCGGGUUCUCCUGGACUCUCUGUUAAGGGCGAGACUGGAGAAUCUGGUCCUAAAGGUCCACGUGGAAAACCGGGUCAGAAAGGAGAAAAGGGGGAGCAUGGAAGUAAUGGUCUACCAGGUUUACUAGGACCAGUGGGAGUGGAUGGACUUCCAGGACUUCCUGGGCAGAAGGGGGAGAAGGGAGAGGAAGGUAUCGGAAUUCAGGGUGUUCAAGGUCCACUUGGGCCAAAAGGAGAAAAGGUAUGUUUUUCUGAUGAGUUAUAUUAGUAUUUCAUUAAACGUAUGCAUG
rnacentral:lncRNA from 1 species